rnacentral:rRNA from 1 species
UACAGAGGGUGCGAGCGUUAAUCGGAAUUACUGGGCGUAAAGCGCACGUAGGUGGCGACGUAAGUCGGGUGUGAAAGCCCCGGGCUCAACCUGGGAAUUGCAUUCGAGACUGCAUUGCUGGAGUACGGAAGAGGAAGGCGGAAUUCCCGGUGUAGCGGUGAAAUGCGUAGAUAUCUGGAGGAACACCGGUGGCGAAGGCGGCGUUCUGGACUGUAUCUGACACUGAGGAACGAAAGCCAGGGGAGCAAAGCGGG